CCUACGGGAAGGCAGCAGUGAGGAAUAUUGGUCAAUGGGCGCAAGCCUGAACCAGCCAUGCCGCGUGCAGGAAGAAUGCCCUACGGGUUGUAAACUGCUUUUAUUUGGGAAUAAACCUUUCUACGUGUAGAAAGCUGAAGGUACCAAUUGAAUAAGCACCGGCUAACUCCGUGCCAGCAGCCGCGGUAAUACGGAGGGUGCAAGCGUUAUCCGGAAUCAUUGGGUUUAAAGGGUCCGCAGGCGGACCUAUAAGUCAGUGGUGAAAGCCUACAGCUUAACUGUAGAACUGCCAUUGAAACUGUAGGUCUUGAAUUCGGUCGAAGUGGGCGGAAUGUGUAGUGUAGCGGUGAAAUGCAUAGAUAUUACACAGAACACCGAUAGCGAAGGCAGCUCACUAGGCCUGGAUUGACGCUCAGGGACGAAAGCGUGGGGAUCAAACAGGAUUAGAUACCCUGGUAGUCCACGCCGUAAACUAUGAUUACUCGUUUUCGGCGAUAUACAGUCGGAGACUAAGCGAAAGUGAUAAGUAAUCCACCUGGGAGUACGAUCGCAGGUUGAAACUUAAUGAAUUGACGGNUGAGAGAGACGACGGACGACGACGAGGGAGGAGG
rnacentral:rRNA from 1 species